AGCAGCCGCGGUAAUUCCAGCUCCAAUAGCGUAUAUUAAAGUUGUUGCAGUUAAAAAGCUCGUAGUUGAAUUUCGGGAUCAAUGUGUCAGUCGUGCCAUUGGUACGUACUGGUAUCAUUGAUUUCUCCUUUCUGACGAACCAUGAUGUCAUUAAUUUGGUGUUAUGGGGAGUUAGGACUGUUACUUUGAAAAAAUUAGAGUGUUUAAAGCAGGCAUUAGCUUGAAUACAUUAGCAUGGAAUAAUGAAAUAGGACGUUUGACCCUAUUUUGUUGGUUUCUAGGAUCGACGUAAUGAUUAAUAGGGAUAGUUGGGGGCAUUAGUAUUCAAUUGUCAGAGGUGAAAUUCUUGGAUUUAUUGAAGACUAACUACUGCGAAAGCAUUUGCCAAGGAUGUUUUCAUUAAUCAAGAACGAAAGUUAGGGGAUCGAAGACGAUCAGAUACCGUCGUAGUCUUAACCAUAAACUAUGCCGACUAGGGAUCGGAUGAUGUUAAUUUUUUAAUGACUCA
rnacentral:rRNA from 1 species